rnacentral:rRNA from 1 species
UACGUAGGGUGCGAGCGUUAAUCGGAAUUACUGGGCGUAAAGCGUGCGCAGGCGGUCUGUUAAGACCGAUGUGAAAUCCCCGGGCUUAACCUGGGAACUGCAUUGGUGACUGGCAGGCUUUGAGUGUGGCAGAGGGGGGUAGAAUUCCACGUGUAGCAGUGAAAUGCGUAGAGAUGUGGAGGAAUACCGAUGGCGAAGGCAGCCCCCUGGGCCAACACUGACGCUCAUGCACGAAAGCGUGGGGAGCAGACAGG